GCCAGUGUGGUGUAGUGGUUUGAGCAUUGGGUGCUCUGGAUUCUCAGCCUCUUUGGGAGACCAGGGUUCAAAUCCCUACUCAGCCA